rnacentral:rRNA from 1 species
GUAGGUGGCAAGCGUUGUCCGGAAUUAUUGGGCGUAAAGCGCGCGCAGGCGGUUCGUUUAAGUCUGAUGUGAAAGCCCACGGGCUCAACCGUGGAGGGUCAUUGGAAACUGGAGAACUUGAGUACAGAAGAGGAAAGCGGAAUUCCACGUGUAGCGGUGAAAUGCGUAGAGAUGUGGAGGAACACCAGUGGCGAAGGCGGCUUUCUGGUCUGUAACUGACGCUGAGGCGCGAAAGCGUGGGGAGCAAACAGGAUUAGAUACCCUGGUAGUCCACGCCGUAAACGAUGAGUGCUAAGUGUUAGGGGGUUUCCGCCCCUUGGUGCUGCAGCUAACGCAUUAAGCACUCCGCCUGGGGAGUACGGCCGCAAAGGCUG